UACGUAGGAGGCGAGCGUUGUCCGGAAUCACUGGGCGUAAAGGGCGCGUAGGUGGCGCGGGUAGUCAUCGGUGAAAGCUCAGGGCUCAACCCUGAGUCGGCCGGUGAUACUCCCGCGCUUGAGUGUGGUAGAGGCCAAUGGAAUUCCGGGUGUAGCGGUGGAAUGCGUAGAGAUCCGGAAGAACACCGGUGGCGAAGGCGGUUGGCUGGGCCACAACUGACACUGAUGCGCGACAGCGUGGGGGAGCAAACAGG
rnacentral:rRNA from 1 species